rnacentral:rRNA from 1 species
AUUGAACGCUUGCGGCAGGCCUAACACAUGCAAGUCGAACGAGUGGCGGACGGGUGAGUAAUGUCUGGGAAACUGCCUGAUGGAGGGGGAUAACUACUGGAAACGGUAGCUAAUACCGCAUACCAUCAGAUGUGCCCAGAUGGGAUUAGCUAUUUGGUGGGGUAACGGCUCACCAAGGCGACGAUCCCUAGCUGGUCUGAGAGGAUGACCGUGACAACUGUAACGUAGACACGGUCCAGACUCCGACGGGAGGCAGCAGUGGGGAAUAUUGCACAAUGGGCGCAAGCCUGAUGCAGCCAUGCCGCGUGUAUGAAGAAGGCCUUCGGGUUGUAAAGUACUUUCAGCGGGGAGGCGUUACCCGCAGAAGAAGCACCGGCUAACUCCGUGCCAGCAGCCGCGGUAAUUC